rnacentral:rRNA from 1 species
AUACGGAGGAUCCGAGCGUUAUCCGGAUUUAUUGGGUUUAAAGGGUGCGUAGGUGGUUUGAUAAGUCAGCGGUGAAAGUUUGCAGCUUAACUGUAAAAAUGCCGUUGAAACUGUCGGACUUGAGUGUAAAUGAGGUAGGCGGAAUGCGUGGUGUAGCGGUGAAAUGCAUAGAUAUCACGCAGAACUCCGAUUGCGAAGGCAGCUUACUAAGCUACAACUGACACUGAAGCACGAAAGCGUGGGGAUCAAACAGGAUUAGAUACCCUGGUAGUCCACGCAGUAAACGAUGAUUACUAGCUGUUUGCGAUACACAGUAAGCGGCACAGCGAAAGCGUUAAGUAAUCCACCUGGGGAGUACGCCGGCAACGGUGAAACUUAAAGGAAUUGACGGGG